rnacentral:tRNA from 1 species
GUGUUUGGGGGGUCUAGGGGUAGGAUUCUCGCUUUGGGUGCGAGAGGUCCCGGGUUCAGAUCCCGGACGAGCCCC